UACGUAGGGUGCGAGCGUUAAUCGGAAUUACUGGGCGUAAAGCGUGCGCAGGCGGUUGUGCAAGACAGAUGUGAAAGCCCCGGGCUCAACCUGGGAAUGGCAUUUGUGACUGCACGGCUAGAGUGUGUCAGAGGGGGGUAGAAUUCCACGUGUAGCAGUGAAAUGCGUAGAGAUGUGGAGGAAUACCGAUGGCGAAGGCAGCCCCCUGGGAUAACACUGACGCUCAUGCACGAAAGCGUGGGGAGCAAACAGG
rnacentral:rRNA from 1 species